rnacentral:rRNA from 1 species
GACGAACGCUGGCGGCGUGCUUAACACAUGCAAGUCGAACGGAAAAGGCCGGCCUUUGUUCGGUGGUCGAGUGGCGAACGGGUGAGUAACACGUGAGUAACCUGCCCUGGAGCGUGGGAUAACUUCUGGAAACUGGGGCUAAUACCGGAUAAGAGCUCCUGCUGCAUGGUAGUGGUUGGAAAGGUGCGGUUGCUGGGGAUGGAGUCGCGGCUUAGUAGCUUGUUGGUGGGGUAGUGGCACACCAAGGCCACGGCGCGGAGCCGACCGGAGAGGGUGAGCGGCCACCCUGGGACUGUGACACGGCCCAGACGGCUUCGGGAGGCAGCAGUAGGGAAACUUCGGGAAGGGGCGGAAGAUUGACCGCGCAACGCCGCGUGAGUGAAGAAGGGUUUCGGAUCGUAAAGCUCUGUUGUAAGAGAAGAACGAGUGUGAGAGUGGAAAGUUCACACUGUGACGGUAUCUGACCAGAAAGGGACGGCUAACUACGUG